rnacentral:rRNA from 1 species
UACGUAGGGUGCAAGCGUUGUCCGGACUUAUUGGGCGUAAAGAGCUUGUAGUCGGUUUGUCGCGUCUGCUGUGAAAUUUCGGGGCUCAACCCCGAACUUGCAGUGGGUACGGGCAGACUAGAGUGUGGUAGGGGAGACUGGAAUUCCUGGUGUAGCGGUGAAAUGCGCAGAUAUCAGGAGGAACACCGAUGGCGAAGGCAGGUCUCUGGGCCACUACUGACGCUGAGAAGCGAAAGCAUGGGGAGCGAACAGG